rnacentral:rRNA from 1 species
AUUGAACGCUGGCGGCAGGCCUAACACAUGCAAGUCGAACGAGUGGCGGACGGGUGAGUAAUGUCUGGGAAACUGCCUGAUGGAGGGGGAUAACUACUGGAAACGGUAGCUAAUACCGCAUACCAUCAGAUGUGCCCAGAUGGGAUUAGCUAGUUGGUGGGGUAACGGCUCACAAAGGCGACGAUCCCUAGCUGGUCUGAGAGGAUGACCGGCAAAAAAGGAACUGAGACCCGGCCCGGCGUCCUACGGGAGGCAGCAGUGGGGAAUAUUGAACAAUGGGGGAAAGCCUGAUGCAGCCAUGCCGCGUAUAUGAGGAAGGCCUUCGGGUUGUAAAGGACUUUCAGCGGGGAGGCGUUACCCGCAGAAGAAGCACCGGCUAACUCCGUGCCAGCCGCCGCGGUAAUAC